rnacentral:tRNA from 1 species
GGCCUCGUGCUGGAAUUGGUAGACAGUCUGGACUUAAAAUCCAGUGGGAUUUACUCCCGUGGCGGUUCGAGUCCGCCCGAGGCUA